rnacentral:rRNA from 1 species
GGCUCAGAUUGAACGCUGGCGGCAUGCCUUACACAUGCAAGUCGAACGGCAGCGGACCUUCGGGUGCCGGCGAGUGGCGAACGGGUGAGUAAUGCAUCGGAACGUGCCAUUGAGUGGGGGAUAACGUAGCGAAAGUUACGCUAAUACCGCAUAUUCUGUGAGCAGGAAAGCAGGGGACCGCAAGGCCUUGCGCUCUUUGAGCGGCCGAUGUCAGAUUAGCUAGUUGGUGAGGUAAAGGCUUACCAAGGCGACGAUCUGUAGCGGGUCUGAGAGGAUGAUCCGCCACACUGGAACUGAGACACGGUCCAGACUCCUACGGGAGGCAGCAGUGGGGAAUUUUGGACAAUGGGCGCAAGCCUGAUCCAGCCAUGCCGCGUGAGUGAAGAAGGCCUUCGGGUUGUAAAGCUCUUUCGGCCGGGAAGAAAUCGCAUGGGUUAAUACCCUGUGUGGAUGACGGUACCGGAAUAAGAAGCACCGGCUAACUACGUG